UUCCGGUUGAUCCUGCCGGAGGCCAUUGCUAUUGGAGUCCGACUUAGCCAUGCUAGUCGCACGGGUUCAGACCCGUGGCGAAUAGCUCCGUAACACGUGGCCAAGCUACCCUGCAGAGCGGCAUAACCUCGGGAAACUGAGGCUAAUACCGCAUACGCGUUCAACUCUGGAAUGACAGAACGCCCAAACGCUCCGGCGCUGCAGGAUGCGGCUGCGGCCGAUUAGGUAGACGGUGGGGUAACGGCCCACCGUGCCAAUAAUCGGUACGGGUUGUGAGAGCAAGAACCCGGAGACGGAAUCUGAGACAAGAUUCCGGGCCCUACGGGGCGCAGCAGGCGCGAAACCUUUACACUGCACGCCAGUGCGAUAAGGGGACUCCAAGUGCGAGGGCAUAUCGCCCUCGCUUUUCUGAACCGUAGGGAGGUUCAGGAACAAGUGCUGGGCAAGACCGGUGCCAGCCGCCGCGGUAAUACCGGCAGCACGAGUGAUGGCCGAUCUUAUUGGGCCUAAAGCGUCCGUAGCUCGCCGCGCAAGUCCAUCGGGAAAUCCACCUGCUCAACAGGUGGGCGUCCGGUGGAAACUGCACGGCUUGAGACCGAAAGACCCAACGGGUACGUCCAGGGUAGGAGUGAAAUCCCGUAAUCCUGGACGGACCGCCGAUGGCGAAAGCACGUUGGGAAGACGGAUCUGACAGUGAGGGACGAAAGCUAGGGUCUCGAACCGGAUUAGAUACCCGGGUAGUCCUAGCUGUAAACGAUGUUCACUAGGUGUGGCACAGGCUACGAGCCUGUGCUGUGCCGUAGGGAAGCCGCUAAGUGAACCGCCUGGGAAGUACGUCUGCAAGGAUGAAACUUAAAGGAAUUGGCGGGGGAGCACUACAACCGGAGGAGCCUGCGGUUUAAUUGGACUCAACGCCGGA
rnacentral:rRNA from 1 species